GUCCCUACAAAUUGAGUCAGCAACAGAGAAGAGCCAACCAUUGAAGAUAAGCAAAGCCGCUAUGCGAAAACCAAAUCGGACACGUGUCAACCUGAUAUUUCAUUCUUGAUUUUCCUCCAAAAUAACAGUCUUUUGGUUCUUCUUGUCUUGGAAGUCUCAAAAGCUAAAGAGGGUAGUUGAAAUUUAAACUCCUGUGCUUUCAAAUUGACAAAGCACCAAACUUUCUCCUCCUCAAUUCCCAAAAUUUCAGUUUGCUGCAAGAGAAAAAAAGAAGGAAAUUUCAAUGGCAACAACUGCUUCUUGUGUGGGUUCAUCAACUCUGUUACAAUCCCAAAUUAAUGGAUUUGGCGGGAGUGUUAAGCUUCAGAAGCCCAAUUCACUCACUUUCACCAGGAGGAGAGUUCAAACAGUGGUGAAGGCUUCUUCUCGGGUGGAUAAGUUUUCGAAAAGCGAUAUUAUUGUUUCUCCAUCCAUCCUUUCUGCUAACUUUUCUAAAUUAGGAGAGCAGGUAAAAGCAGUUGAGCAGGCAGGCUGCGACUGGAUUCAUGUAGAUGUGAUGGAUGGUCGAUUUGUUCCAAAUAUAACUAUUGGACCCCUUGUAGUUGAUUCCUUGCGCCCUAUCACUGAUCUUCCAUUGGAUGUGCAUCUGAUGAUUGUCGAACCUGACCAGAGAGUACCUGAUUUCAUAAAAGCAGGUGCUGAUAUCAUCAGUGUUCACUGUGAGCAAUCUUCUACCAUCCACUUGCAUCGUACAAUAAAUCAGAUUAAAAGUUUGGGAGCUAAAGCUGGGGUUGUCCUCAAUCCUGGAACCCCUUUAACCGCAAUUGAAUAUGUUCUUGAUGCUGUUGAUCUGGUGCUGAUAAUGUCUGUAAACCCUGGAUUUGGGGGACAGAGCUUCAUUGAAAGUCAGGUCAAGAAAAUCUCAGACUUGAGAAAAAUCUGCGCAGAGAGGGGACUAAACCCUUGGAUUGAAGUUGACGGUGGUGUUGGUCCCAAAAAUGCUUACAAGGUCAUUGAAGCUGGAGCCAAUGCUUUGGUAGCUGGUUCUGCCGUCUUUGGAGCUCCUGAUUAUGCUGAAGCUAUUAAAGGAAUCAAGACAAGCAAAAGGCCUGAAGCAGUUGCUGUAUGAAGUUUCUGCCUACUUGGUUCAAGUCGUCAUAACUGUUAAUACGGAGUUGUUCUGUAUGACAGCGCGAAUCCUAGCUGCAGAACAAGAAUAGUUGCGAGGCUGCGGCAUGGUUCGCUCUAUACUCGACACAAUAGGAAAAAUAAAAUAGCCAAUCUCAGAGGUUUUGUGUAAUACAAUAUGUUGUGCAACUUAUCUUGCAUAGGGAACAAGAUAAUUCUACACUGAAUAUCCAAUUAUUUCCAAAUCAUUGGAUAUUUUAUUGAAGUUUAUGAGUUGAUGUCAAGUUCCAAACUAAAGGCCCUUCCCCUCGGGCGGAAAAAUAGAGAAGGAAAUGAAGGAAUAAAUGGUUGCAACCCUAUUCCGUUG